rnacentral:misc_RNA from 1 species
GAUGAAGAACGUAGUGAAAUGCGAUACGUAAUGUGAAUUGCAAAUUCAGUGAAUCAUCGAGUCUUUGAACGCACAUUGCGCCCCCUGGUAUUCCGGGGGGCAUGCCUGUCCGAGCGUCAUUGCUGCCCUCAAGCACGGCUUGUGUGUUGGGCCCCGUCCUCCGAUCCCGGGGGACGGGCCCGAAAGGCAGCGGCGGCACCGUGUCCGGUCCUCGAGCGUAUGGGGCUUUGUCACCCGCUCUGUAGGCCCGGCCGGCGCUUGCCGAUCAACCCAAAUUUUUAUCCAGGUUGACCUCGGAUCAGGUAGGGAUACCCGCUGAACUUAAGCAUAUCAAUAAGCGGAGGA